rnacentral:misc_RNA from 1 species
GAAAUGCGAUAAGUAAUGUGAAUUGCAGAAUUCAGUGAAUCAUCGAAUCUUUGAACGCAGCUUGCGCUCCUUGGUAUUCCUUGGAGCAUGCCUGUUUGAGUAUCAUGAAAUCUUCAAAGUAAAUCUUUUGUUAACUCAAUUGGUUUCUACUUUGGUAUUGGAGGUCUUUGCAGCUUCACACCUGCUCCUCUUUGUUCAUUAGCUGGAUCUCAGUGUUAUGCUUGGUUCCACUCGGCGUGAUAAGUUAUCUAUCGCUGAGGACACUGUAAAAGGUGGCCAAGGUAAAUGCAGAUGAACCGCUUCUAAUAGUCCAUUGACUUGGACAAUCCUUUUAUGAUCUGAUCUCAAAUCAGGUAGGACUACCCGCUGAACUUAAGC